rnacentral:rRNA from 1 species
UUCCGGUUGAUCCUGCCGGAGGCUACCGCUAUUGGAGUUCGAUUAAGCCAUGCGAGUCGCGAGUCUUAGGGACUCGGCGUACCGCUCAGUAACACGUGGGUAACCUGCCCUAUGCUGGGGGAUAACCUCGGGAAACUGAGAAUAAUACCCCAUAGUUCACCACGCCUGGAACGGUGGGUGGACCAAAGCUCCGGCGGCAUAGGAUGGGCCUGCGGCGUAUCAGGUUGUAGGGGGUGUAAUGUACCCUCUAGCCCUCUACGCGUACGGGUGUUGAGAGACAUCGCCCGGAGAUGGAUUCUGAGACACGAAUCCAGACCCCACGGGGUGCAGCAGGCGCGAAAACUUGGCAAUGCGAGAAAUCGUGACCAGGGAACUCCAAGUGCAUCGGGUAAGACCGAUGCUUUUCUUGACUCUUCAAAGGUCUUGGAAUAAGGGGUGGGUAAGGACGGUGCCAGCCGCCGCGGUAAUACCGGCGCCCCAAGUGGUAGUCGCUUUUAUUGGGCCUAAAACGUCCGUAGCCGGUCUGGUACAUUCGUGGGUAAAUCAACCAGCUCAACUGGUUGAAUUCUGCGAGCACGGCCAGACUUGGGACCGGGAGAGGUGUGGGGUACUCUCAGGGUAGGGGUAAAAUCCUGUCAUCCUGAGAGGACCACCUGUUGCGAAGGCGCCACACUAGAACGGAUCCGACGGUCAGGGACGAAGCCUAGGGGCACGAACCGGAUUAGAUACCCGGGUAGUCCUAGGUGUAAACGCUGUGGACUUGAUGUUGGGGGCGCUCCGAGCGCACUCAGUGUCGAAGCGAAGGUGAUAAGUCCACUGCCUGGGGAGUACGGUCGCAAGGCUGAAACUUAAAGGAAUUGGCGGGGGAGCACCGCAACCUGAGGAUUGUGCGGUUCAAUUGGAGUCAACGCCGG